GGUCUCAUUGUGCAAUGGGUAUAAUGUCUGUAUUCCUACAGAAUGGACUCAUUACCCCUGAGGGUGCCUUCACCGCAUGAUGGACCUGGCUAUGACCCAGGAGCUGUCGUCCCCGGGCAUAGCGGCCCUUCAAAUCUCCCUGGUCCUGUUGCAUCUGGGAGUUGUGGUGUUGUCUCCAGUCAGUGUUCAGCGUUCUUGUCCAAACUCCUAUAAAGUGAUUUGUAAGACUGCUCCUAUCCCCUUCAUUCCUCAGGCUCCUGAACAGGCUGGAUGUGUUCCUGCUUGAGUAACUUACCCUAGUUCACUUUCACUACUUCCCCUUUCAGUCUCCAAUUAAGUUGCAGGAAGGGAUUCUCUCACGUUGAGUGUCUGAAAAUGCAACAGUCAGUCUGAAGAUCAACGGUUCCCACUUCCUGAGGGUGCAGUUGAGGUCAGGUUCUAUUCCAGCCCCACUCCCUGCUACAAUAGCCCCACCCUGAGUUGUUAGACCAGAACCUAGCCAGGAAGGGUUUGAGGCUAAUUAUGGUGAGUUGUUCAUCACUGGGAAGUUCCCUGCUGGCACCAUCACCAAGGUAAAGAGGACUCUAGCUCUGCCAAGGGUCAGGUUGGCUCCAGUCCUUCCCAGCAUAGCUAGGGAGGCUACUAUGGUUUUCAUAACAGUAACGUCAUAACCACAGGUUCUAGCUGAUUCCAGUUCUUCUCAGGUGACCACCAGCUCUGACCCUCAGGACCUUGAACAGGAUUUUCUAGCCCCUUGGUCCCCUGGCUUAAUCGAUGCUCUCUGGAGUAAGAAAUCAGAAAUCCCAGUCAACGGAUAUAGUUUCUGACAUCACUAUUACUACCGUCAUAGGGGCUACUAAGCCUCUAAGAAGAACUUGGAUAAUAUUGAAUUAACCAGGUACAAGUUCCGGAGUCUUGUCAUUUCUGAUUAGUCGAUGUCUUGAGGAACACUUGUUUCUUGUGUUCUCAGCUCCAUCCAUACUAACCUGCA